rnacentral:rRNA from 1 species
CCUACGGGUGGCAGCAGUGAGGAAUAUUUGUCAAUGGGCGGGAGCCUGAACCAGCCAAGUCGCGUGAGGGAAGACGGUCCUAUGGAUUGUAAACCUCUUUAGGCGGGGAGCAAUGCCGGGCACGCGUGGCCGGAAGGAGAGUACCCGCAGAAUAAGCAUCGGCUAACUCCGUGCCAGCAGCCGCGGUAAUACGGAGGAUGCGAGCGUUAGCCGGAUUUAUUGGGUUUGAAGGGUGCGUAGGCGGAUUGUUAAGUCAGCGGUAAAAUGUCGGGGCUCAAACCCGGCCGGCCGUUGAAACUGGUGUUCUUGAGUGAGCGAGAAGUAUGCGGAAUGCGUGGUGUAGCGGUGAAAUGCAUAGAUAUCACGCAGAACUCCGAUUGCGAAGGCAGCUUACUAACCUGCCACUGACAUUGAUGCUCGAAAGUGUGGGUAUCAAACAGGAUUAGAUACCCUUGUAGUC